CCUACGGGAGGCAGCAGUAAGGAAUAUUGGUCAAUGGAGGCAACUCUGAACCAGCCAUGCCGCGUGCAGGAAGAAGGCCCUAUGGGUCGUAAACUGCUUUUGUACCAGAGAAAACCACAGUACGUGUACUGUGUUGAUAGUAUGGUAAGAAUAAGCAUCGGCUAACUUCGUGCCAGCAGCCGCGGUAAGACGAAGGAUGCAAGCGUUAUCCGGAUUCAUUGGGUUUAAAGGGUGCGUAGGCGGACUGAUAAGUCAGUGGUGAAAUCUCUCAGCUUAACUGAGAAACUGCCAUUGAUACUGUUAGUCUAGAGUAUAGAUGACGUUGGCGGAAUAUGACAUGUAGUGGUGAAAUACUUAGAUAUGUCAUAGAACACCGAUUGCGAAGGCAGCUAACGAAACUAUAACUGACGCUGAGGCACGAAAGUGCGGGGAUCAAACAGGAUUAGAUACCCUGGUAGUCCGCACCGUAAACGAUGAUUACUCGUUGUUGGCAAUAUGACCGUCAGCGACCAAGCGAAAGCGAUAAGUAAUCCACCUGGGGAGUACGCCGGCAACGGUUGAAACUCAAANAGAGUAGAGACGNGAGAGNGCGACGGACGACACGAGGGAGGAGG
rnacentral:rRNA from 1 species